rnacentral:rRNA from 1 species
GGCAACGGGUGAGUAUAAUGUGGGAAUCUGCCUUUUGGUUCGGAAUAACACGGGGAAACUUGUACUAAUACCGGAUAAGCCUUCACAGGGAAAGUUUUAAUGCCAAAAGAUGAGCCCGCACUUGAUUAGCUAGUUGGUAAGGUAAUGGCUUACCAAGGCAACGAUCAAUAGCUGUUCUUAGAGGAAGACCAGCCACAUUGGGACUGAGACACGGCCCAAACUCCUACGGGAGGCAGCAGUGGGGAAUCUUGCACAAUGGGGGAAACCCUGAUGCAGCGAUGCCGCGUGAGUGAAGAAGGCCCUUGGGUUGUAAAACUCUUUCGUCGAGGAAGAAAAUGACUGUACUCGAAUAAGAAGGUCCGGCUAACUUCGUGCCAGCAGCCGCGGUAAUACGAAGGGACCUAGCGUAGUUCGGAAUUACUGGGCUUAAAGAGUUC